rnacentral:rRNA from 1 species
UACGGAGGGGGCUAGCGUUGUUCGGAAUUACUGGGCGUAAAGCGCACGUAGGUGGCUUGGCAAGUCGGGUGUGAAAUCCCCGGGCUCAACCUGGGAACUGCAUUCGAGACUGCCUUGCUAGAGUAUGGGAGAGGGAAGUGGAAUUUCCGGUGUAGCGGUGAAAUGCGUAGAUAUCGGAAGGAACAUCAGUGGCGAAGGCGACUUCCUGGACCAAUACUGACGAUCAGGUGCGAAAGCGUGGGGAGCAAACAGG